rnacentral:ncRNA from 1 species
GUACGUGGCUGGCAAUCGCCGCCGCGUCACCAUUCUCCUCUUGUCGUUGUUGCUCCGGGGUUUAAUAGCCCCGGUUUUUUUUG